rnacentral:misc_RNA from 1 species
CAAAGGCGCUUAACUUUAUUAACCCUGAAGAAAUCGGUUCAAUGCUAUCAAUAUACACUGCAUUGAAAGUUCAUCAGGGUUAAUAAAGUUAAGCGCCUUUGACAUGGCAAUAAACACCUCUUUAGUGACUCGAUCAGGAACUCCCUGCUUUCUCAUCCAAUCUUGAACAGUCAAACCAUCUUGAGCCUCAACAUAAGCCUGUC